rnacentral:rRNA from 1 species
GUGGGGAAUAUUGCACAAUGGGCGAAAGCCUGAUGCAGCGAUGCCGCGUGAGGGAAGAAGGUUUUAGGAUUGUAAACCUCUGUCUUUGGGGACGAUAAUGACGGUACCCAAGGAGGAAGCUCCGGCUAACUACGUGCCAGCAGCCGCGGUAAUACGUAGGGAGCGAGCGUUGUCCGGAAUUACUGGGUGUAAAGGGAGCGUAGGCGGGAUUGCAAGUCAGGUGUGAAAUUUAGGGGCUUAACCCCUGAACUGCACUUGAAACUGUAGUUCUUGAGUGAAGUAGAGGUAAGCGGAAUUCCUAGUGUAGCGGUGAAAUGCGUAGAUAUUAGGAGGAACAUCAGUGGCGAAGGCGGCUUACUGGGCUUUAACUGACGCUGAGGCUCGAAAGCGUGGGGAGCAAACAGGAUUAGAUACCCUAGUAGUCC